rnacentral:miRNA from 1 species
UGAGUAUUGCAUCAAGAACCGA